rnacentral:rRNA from 1 species
GACGAACCGUGCAAACGUUGUUCGGAAUCACUGGGCUUAAAGGGCGCGUAGGCGGGUGGCCAAGUCAGGGGUGAAAUCUGGCAGCUCAACUGUCAAAUAGCUUUUGAUACUGGCCAUCUUGAGGGGGGUAGGGGCAUGUGGAACUUCCGGUGGAGCGGUGAAAUGCGUAGAUAUCGGAAGGAACGCCGGUGGCGAAAGCGACGUGCUGGACCCUUUCUGACGCUGAGGCGCGAAAGCCAGGGGAGCAAACGGG